UUACUUAGGGAGUGCUCCAGCCUUUGGGCUGUCUUGCACUCCAACAUAGGAAGGAAAUCAUCGACGGCUUCAUUCCCUGGCGUUUGAGACUUUUCUUCCCACAGACACAUUCCUGAGGACAUCAGUCAUGGGUAAAGAACUCCACUGGGGUCAGAGUUGGAUCCCACUAGGCAGAUUAGGACUUGGAAGUGGAGUGGUACAGACUUGGUGUUCCCAGAGCCUCUCACUCGUGAUUCAUGGCUCUCCACCCCAAGCAUCGGGACUUGCUCAACUUCACCACAGAAGGAAACAGACUGUAAGCUUGGAGGGCCGGGGAGGAAACUGGAGGCACGUGUAGGAGGAAGAGAGAUACUGAUGGGCCACCGAGGUUGGCUCAGUUGGAAUACCAGCCAUGUGGCAUGUCUCAUGGGGCAAGAGCUGUGCCGCCCAUGGGAGCCCAGAGGAGCAUACUGAGGACCAACACCAGGGAGACCUUGCCCGAACACGAGUCUAAAGAAGAUGACCAAAAAAGGGGUGCAGAUCUAGUAGUUUACAAGUGGUGCCAAGAUAAGAGAGAAGGCAGCUGUCUGCAAACCGGAAAGAUGGUUCUC